GCUCGCUGUGAGGGCAGCCGGCUGCUGCGUCCCCCCGCCCGGCCCCGCAGGCGGCUGGAAACUUAUUACAGCAAUUAACAGCCAGUGUUCACACACGCAGUGCUUCCCAAACGGUGCCCGAACAACGCGUUCGGCCGGCCGUUGCCCCGUUUUCAUCCCGUCAUGGAAUCCAGGCCCUGACUGCCCCCUUCGCGUCCCUGAGGGAUGGAGGAGCGACGGCAGCAUAGCGUCAAACUCGUUUUGAAGCAGGAUACAUGAAAGGAAAAUAAAAUGCCAGAUGCCAUCCAUCCACAGAAUUCGGUCUACCACCGACUGGUAGGUCGGUGAAUGGAAUGGAUGUUUUACCAGAUUUGGAACCACAAUGUCUAACACAGAAAUAAAAUAAGAUUCCAGGAGGAUACUGAAAUAAUAAUAAAAACACCUCAGAAAGGGGAAGCAAAGGUAAUUUUUCCCCAAGCUAUUCUCCUUCAAAGGUUGUUUCUUUCUUCCUCUAUGGAAGAAAUUAUGAGAUUUCACCUCUCCUCAUUUCCCUGAGCUUCACAGGAGAUCCUGCCACACAGACUUGAGGACAAACUGUGACUGCAACUGAGGCAAGGAACACAGGCAAGCUGGGCACUGCUACGAACAGUGCACAUUCGGUGGCUGCGGCAAUUUCAUACAGCAGUAUUUAACAAGAACGAAGGGAGCUAUGGUGUUUCUAGAACCACAACAGUAUGACAAACUCAGGAAUGAAAUAUAAAAUGGCUGAAGGCUUAUUGAGUAUGGAAAAAUAACUCCUGAUGGAGCUGUGGAUUGUACUGUUUAGGUAAUGGAGCAAGGGUAAAAAAAGAACCCUCUGUGAUGCGCUCAUCUACCCCACUGAAAAGAAUGUCUCCUUCUCUACAAGGACAGAGAUGGAACAAUAGGAGUUGGCCUACCUGCUUAACAUGGUCUGUCUCCACACUCCAUUUGUAUUUGAGAUCUAACUAGUCACAGUCAUUGUGCCAUCCCCUUUUUAUUUAAAGAAUAAAAGCUUACUACACUGGUACCACUCCCAACACCAGGCUUUGUUUGGCUAAUUAUUCACUCAGUAUACAUACAAACUUCAUAUGACUGGGAUGUUUUGGAAUGAAAAAUGUGACUUGUCAACCCCUGAUCUCUGUAAAACUGAUGCAGAUCAUCAGAAUAUGAGUCUACCGUGUCCUGUGAGGUGCUCCCAACUACUUCGCCAUGAGAUGUGCUGCUCUUGUAGAUAUGGAUGCAGAGUGAGGAAGGCAUGCAGCUUCUAUUUUGUUAAUAAGUGGUUUGGUAAUAUGUAAUUUGAUGGCUUAUUUUUCAGACCACAACAGUCCCACUGUCCACAAAGCUCAAAAGGAACAGUAACAAAGAUCCUCUGGAAAAAUCAGGAAAAUAAAUACCACAUAAGGCAGACCAAUUAAUUUGCCUUCUAUACACACAUUCUACUGCUAUACGCUGAAGAGCAUACAGCAUACAGCUGAA